GUGAAGACAGACCCAGUAAUGCCCGUGUGCCGGUUCAACAUAAACAAUCAUAGUUACCAGUCACAUUAUCACAGUUUUAUAAGCACAGAACUCAAAGAAAUAAUGUCUAGAUGAUAUACUUGAACUGAUUCGGGCUUCAUCAGUUUUUACUGGUUUUCAUUUUGUUCAAACAAAGAGGAGUCAAGACACCGUUUGAAUGCAGUGCCGCUGGCUUCGAACCUGGGACCUUCACCUAACAGUGAAGAGCGCCAUGCCAAUGCCUUAACUGUUGUGGCCACUGAUGCCCUCUUCACUUCUCUUACUUUUCCUUUUAAGUUUUAAGUAUUUUUAUCUUAUUUUUUUGUGUCAAAUUACACUUCAAUCUCUGGCUGAUGAAUCAAUGAAAUCGAUUCUUAUGAUAAAUAUUUUCUUUGGUGAUUGAU